GGCGGAAUGGCAGACGCAGCAGACUCAAAAUCUGCCGGGGGCAACCUCGUGCCGGUUCAAGUCCGGCCACCG
rnacentral:tRNA from 1 species